UGGCUCAGGACGAACGCUGGCGGCGUGCUUAACACAUGCAAGUCGAACGGUAAGGCCCUUUCGGGGGUACACGAGUGGCGAACGGGUGAGUAACACGUGGGUGACCUGCCCUGUACUUCGGGAUAAGCCUGGGAAACUGGGUCUAAUACCGGAUAUGACCUUCUCCUGCAUGGGGGUUGGUGGAAAGUUUUUGCGGUACAGGAUGGGCCCGCGGCCUAUCAGCUUGUUGGUGGGGUAAUGGCCUACCAAGGCGACGACGGGUAGCCGGCCUGAG
rnacentral:rRNA from 1 species